GAAGAGUCUCUGGCUCUUUAGAAUACUGAUCCCAUUGAAGAUACCACGCUGCAUGUGUCCUUAGUAGUCAUGUCUCCUUAGGCUCCUCUUGGACAUUCUGAGCAUGUGAGACCUGAGGACUGCAAACAGCUAUAAGAGGCUCCAAAUUAAUCAUAUCUUUCCCUUUGAGAAUCUGGCCAAGCUCCAGCUAAUCUACUUGGAUGGGUUGCCAGCUAUCUGGAGAAAAAGGUGGAGAUGGGGCAUGAGGAUCCUCCAGGGGAAAAGCUCACUACCACUGGGCAACAACCCUAGGUCAGGAGGUUCUGUCAAGAUACUUUCCUGGUCCCAGAUAGGAAGAUAAAGUCUCAAAAACAACCACCACACGUCAAGCUCUUCAUUGUUCCUAUCUGCCAAAUCAUUAUACUUCCUACAAGCAGUGCAGAGAGCUGAGUCUUCAGCAGGUCCAAGAAAUUUGAACACACUGAAGGAAGUCAGCCUUCCCACCUGAAGAUCAACAUGCCUGGCACUCUAGCACUUGAGGAUAGCUGAAUGAAUGUGUCUUACCCAUUUCCAUGUUUCUCUUGCUAAUUUCUUUCGUGUGUGCCUUUGCCUCAUUUUCUCUUUUUGUUCACAAGAGUGGUCUGUGUCUUGUCUUAGACAUAUCUCUCAUUUUUCAUUUUGUUGCUAUUUCUCUUUGCUCUCCUAGAUGUGGCUCUUCUUUCACGCUUUAUUUCAUGUCUCCUUUUUGGGUCACAUGCUGUGUGCUUUUUGUCCUUUUCUUGUUCUGUCUACCUCUCCUUUCUCUGCCUACCUCUCUUUUCUCUUUGUGAACUGUGAUUAUUUGUUACCCCUUCCCCUUCUCGUUCGUUUUAAAUUUCACCUUUUUUCUGAGUCUGGCCUCCUUUCUGCUGUUUCUACUUUUUAUCUCACAUUUCUCAUUUCUGCAUUUCCUUUCUGCCUCUCUUGGGCUAUUCUCUCUCUCCUCCCCUGCGUGCCUCAGCAUCUCUUGCUGUUUGUGAUUUUCUAUUUCAGUAUUAAUCUCUGUUGGCUUGUAUUUGUUCUCUGCUUCUUCCCUUUCUACUCACCUUUGAGUAUUUCAGCCUCUUCAUGAAUCUAUCUCCCUCUCUUUGAUUUCAUGUAAUCUCUCCUUAAAUAUUUCUUUGCAUAUGUGGGCAAGUGUACGUGUGUGUGUGUCAUGUGUGGCAGAGGGGCUUCCUAACCCCUGCCUGAUAGGUGCAGAACGUCGGCUAUCAGAGCAAGCAUUGUGGAGCGGUUCCUUAUGCCAGGCUGCCAUGUGAGAUGAUCCAAGACCAAAACAAGGCCCUAGACUGCAGUAAAACCCAGAACUCAAGUAGGGCAGAAGGUGGAAGGCUCAUAUGGAUAGAAGGCCCAAAGUAUAAGACAGAUGGUUUGAGACUUGAGACCCGAGGACUAAGAUGGAAAGCCCAUGUUCCAAGAUAGAUAGAAGCCUCAGGCCUGAAACCAACAAAAGCCUCAAGAGCCAAGAAAACAGAGGGUGGCCUGAAUUGGACCGAAGGCCUGAGUUGGAUGGAAGUCUCAAGGCUUGAGUUAGAAGUCUUAAGACCUGGGACAGGACACAUGGAAGGCCUAAGAACUGAGACUUGUGACACAAGGCCAACGACCUAAGAUUAGCCCAGGGUUGUAGCUGGAAGACCUACAACCCAAGGAUGGAAGGCCCCUGUCACAAAGCCUACCUAGAUGGAUAGAGGACCCAAGCGAAAAAGGUAUCUCAAGACUAACGGCCGGAAUCUGGAGGCCCAUGACCCAGAACCCAGGAAGGAUAGAAGCUUGAAGACCUGGGGAAAUCCCAAGAUGAGAACCCUAAACCCUACCUCUUUUCUAUUGUUUACACUUCUUACUCUUAGAUAUUUCCAGUUCUCCUGUUUAUCUUUAAGCCUGAUUCUUUUGAGAUGUACUUUUUGAUGUUGCCGGUUACCUUUAGAUUGACAGUAUUAUGCCUGGGCCAGUCUUGAGCCAGCUUUAAAUCACAGCUUUUACCUAUUUGUUAGGCUAUAGUGUUUUGUAAACUUCUGUUUCUAUUCACAUCUUCUCCACUUGAGAGAGACACCAAAAUCCAGUCAGUAUCUAAUCUGGCUUUUGUUAACUUCCCUCAGGAGCAGACAUUCAUAUAGGUGAUACUGUAUUUCAGUCCUUUCUUUUGACCCCAGAAGCCCUAGACUGAGAAGAUAAAAUGGUCAGGUUGUUGGGGAAAAAAAAGUGCCAGGCUCUCUAGAGAAAAAUGUGAAGAGAUGCUCCAGGCCAAUGAGAAGAAUUAGACAAGAAAUACACAGAUGUGCCAGACUUCUGAGAAGCACCUGCCAGCAACAGCUUCCUUCUUUGAGCUUAGUUUCUG
rnacentral:lncRNA from 1 species